ACCUCCUACGGGGCGCAGCAGUGAGGAAUAUUGGUCAAUGGCCGGAAGGCUGAACCAGCCAAGCCGCGUGAAGGACGAAGGUGCCAAGCAUUGUAAACUUCUUUUGUCAAGGGACAAAAUCAGGCUCGAGAGCCUGACCGAGGGUACUUGAAGAAAAAGCAUCGGCUAACUACGUGCCAGCAGCCGCGGUAAUACGUAGGUGGCGAGCGUUAUCCGGAAUGAUUGGGCGUAAAGGGUGCGCAGGCGGAAUAACAAGUCUGAAGUAAAAGGCAUUGGCUUAACCAAUGUAUGCUAUGGAAACUGUU
rnacentral:rRNA from 1 species